AUGAAGAAGAAAGGUAGAGGAAAAAGCUUCAACAUGCGUGAGGACGAGCUGUUGUGCGAUGCAUGGUUGGCCACUAGCGUUGAUCCUAUCCACGGCAUGGAGCAAAAGGGCACAACCUUUUGGAGGAACAUUCACAUAUGGUUCCAUGAGCACAAACAUUUCGCCCCGACGCGUUGA
rnacentral:rRNA from 1 species